AGUGAACGCUGGCGGUAGGCCUAACACAUGCAAGUCGAACGGCAGCACAGUAAGAGCUUGCUCUUACGGGUGGCGAGUGGCGGACGGGUGAGGAAUACAUCGGAAUCUACUUUUUCGUGGGGGAUAACGUAGGGAAACUUACGCUAAUACCGCAUACGACCUACGGGUGAAAGCAGGGGAUCUUCGGACCUUGCGCGACUGAAUGAGCCGAUGUCGGAUUAGCUAGUUGGCGGGGUAAAGGCCUACCAAGGCGACGCUCCGUAGCUGGUCUGAGAGGAUGAUCAGCCACACUAGAACUGAGAAGCGGUCCAGACUCCUACGAGAGGCAGCAGUGGGGGAUAUUGGACAACGGGCGCAAGCCUGAUCCAGCCAUGCCGCGUGGGUGGAGAAGGACUUCGGGUUGUAAAGACCUUUUGUUGGGAAAGAAAAGCAGCAGGUUAAUACCCCGCUGUUCUGACGGUACCCAGAGAAUAAGCACCGGCUAACUUCGUG
rnacentral:rRNA from 1 species